rnacentral:rRNA from 1 species
CGGCAAUGGGGGAAACCCUGACCGAGCAACGCCGCGUGAGCGAAGAAGGCCUUCGGGUCGUAAAGCUCUGUUGUAAAGGAAGAACGUCGCAUGCAGGAAAUGGUGUGCGAGUGACGGUACUUUACCAGAAAGCCACGGCUAACUACGUGCCAGCAGCCGCGGUAAUACGUAGGUGGCGAGCGUUAUCCGGAAUCAUUGGGCGUAAAGAGGGAGCAGGCGGCCGCAAGGGUCUGUGGUGAAAGACCGAAGCUAAACUUCGGUAAGCCAUGGAAACCGGGCGGCUAGAGUGCGGAAGAGGAUCGUGGAAUUCCAUGUGUAGCGGUGAAAUGCGUAGAUAUAUGGAGGAACACCAGUGGCGAAGGCGACGGUCUGGGCCGCAACUGACGCUCAUUCCCGAAAGCGUGGGGAGCAAAUAGGAUUAGAUACCCUAGUAGUCCACGCCGUAAACGAUGGUCACUAAGUGUCGGGGGUCAAACCCCGGUGCUGCAGUCAACGCAAUAAGUGACCCGCCUGAGUAGUAAGUUCGCAAGAAUGCAACUCAAAUGAAUUGACGG